GCUGAUCUCAACUGCUUGAUGUUUUCAGUCUGUAUGUAGUAGCAUAACUCUCUGGUGUGUCACACUUCCCACCAAUAGCAGCCCUCUAGUCCAGCUGAUAAGUAACAUUCCCCCCGCACCGCACCAGAAACGACUUCCCCAAGUAGGGCUUUUCUUGUGAUCUGUGGACAGUAGCUGUCUUCUGCUCGGGAUGUCCAAAGCUGUCUUCUGCUCGGGAUGUCCAAAUAUCUAUAGUGAGUGAUGGUGAUGAAGCGGAAUCUAAGUCUUCGAUUAAAUUUUGUUUUAUUCGUGACUUGCAGAUGAAAUACGUUUCAAGUAUAACACUUCUAGAGAAUACAGGUCUUGAAGGUAUGUGAUAUCUAGGUUGCAGUGUAUGCAGCAGUUGAAUACAGCUGAUAUCCAAUACCAUCACUUUUCCAAUAGCCGAGGUAACUGCUUUCGCUCAAGGUUCUGAAGGACUCAUUUUCACUGCUUUCACAAAGCCACUGUCAGCUGUUUUGAAGUUUGUUUAUUUGUUCCCCUUUUACUGGUCAUUUAUUUUUGCUUCCAGUAUUCUCUGUUCUGGUGUGGAUGCUUGGCCAAAUGUUAAAUCAAUGUUCUGCUUCCAGUAGGUAUUUUGAGUGAAGGUUUGUAAAUAUUGCUUUGUGCAUCACUGUUUGAUGUUUUGGUAAAAGAAUUCCACACAAGUGCACCUUUUGAGUUUUUUCAGUCAUUGAAUAUUUAGAUAUUUUUGAUUUUAUUAAUUAAUGGGGUAACAAUAUUACUGAAAUAUAGUUAUUCACAGACUAUGAAGCUUGUGAUACUGCAAAGAAACUAAUUGCUGGUUAUAGACGUAACAGUUCUCAACUUCCUUAACAAUAACAAUGGCACAUACAUUUCACAUAACAUUUAAGGGGGGAUAAUUUACAUGAACCAUGCAACAGUAAAAUAUAUAUAACUUCUUUCACUAAUAAUUGGAAUUCAAACUGCCUCACUUUUAGUGCUCAUUAGCAGUGAUAAAUUGUUCUGUUUUAGUUUCAAGGCAUGUUUGGAUUCUUAUUUGCACAAAGUGGUUCAUUGUUUUGAUUAUGUACAUUUUUGUUUGCUUAAAGAGUUUGAUUUUAGAGAUGAUAAACAGUAAACAUGAGAUUGGCUGAAAUUGGCUUCUGUCGGUAGUGUGCACUGCACGUUAUGAUAUACUGAAGACAUAACAGUUCUGCCUUGUUGGUGGUCCUGUCUCUGGUGAGCACAUAUGUCCAACCGAAAUACGUUUGGAGUGAGAGAUCGAACAUGGAGAGAGAACACUGUGAGAAUGGCAAAUGGGUGGAGUUGACUCAGGAUCGUGGCCGGUGGAGGACUUUGUUGUUGUCAGUGUUGAACCUGUGGGUUCUGCUACCAGGGAGUUGGUUAGUUAGGUAGUGAGAGAUUGAUGCUCACUAUGCACUAUCGAUAACACUACAAGCUGAAAGUCGAUGAUUACUUUAUCGAUUGCGAAGAAAAUGCAUCCUAGGCGUGAUAUUAGAAAUUACAGAAUAAGCAUAGGAACCCGAUUUUUUUGAACAUAUUUAUUAGUUUGAGCUGAGUUUUUUAACUUGACCCAAAAUUUUGAAUAUUUCGCACAUCACUAAGAAAUAUGCAUGUGGUAGGGAUUUGAGGGAAUUUUAGGUAAGAAUAAAAUCAAAUUGUCCAGCUUUUAAUAUUUAUUUACAUUAUGUGAAAUAUAUGUUCCUCUACUGUAGUGUGAUAAUAUGGCAGGACAUUUAAAGAAACUGCUUUAUUCCACAGAUAUAUUAAUUAACCAAUAAGUUUUGUCUUUUAUCAUAAUGUGACCAUACUAUACAAGUUAUGGAGAACUUUACUAAAUCCACAAAUCAGGGAGUGUCUCAGAAUGAUGAUGACCACAGUGAACCCCUUGAUUUAAGAGAUGAAUAGAGGGAAGAGGUGUCCAGUAAUGCUGAUUGUAUGUUAAAUUGCACAGUUUUUAUGAUGCCAUUAAUGCAUCAUUUUUAGACCAUAAUUUCCAUUAUGAACACCAUUCAAAGAUUAGUAAUGUGAACUGGACACCUGCAAUGACACAAGAUUAAUGAAAAUACUAGAUAAUUAGGUAAUUAAGUUAAAAAAUCCAAAUUAACCACAUUUUUUAUGCUUGGUAUAAAAUUUUAUGUUGCUGUGAUGUACAGCAGAGAUUAAGAAUACAUAUGUAAAUAUUUUCUAAUGAAAAUGACAGAAUUCAGGUUAUACUCUCACAAUUGUAAGGUUUGUAGGCCUUUUGUGUCAGUCAGUUUAUCUUAUAAUCUUCCAAAACCAUUUUCCAGUACAUUCUUUUAUAAGCAAGAAUAAUAGGCUGGAUGAGUAAUGUAGCAGCAUCAAACACUUUAUUCUUCCAUCUCUGCUAAAGCUUUUCUAUGGUGCUUGGAUGUGCUAGAGCAUUGUUUGGGAUAAGAAUAGCUGUAACAUUCUCUAUCUUAGGGACUUCAGUAUGAUACUUGGGGCCUUCAGGAAUGAAAUGAUUAAAAAUCUAGUCACUAAAAAUCUGAGCAUUAAACUCUGCUUUCUGAGAGGUAUAAUAAAUCACUGUGAGCUCUCACAUGAUUAUAUUUUAUAUGUGUGGUCAACAAGAUUUUCCAACCACCACAGGCUGCAUGUAACUGUCUAUACCGUAAAGUACUGUACUUCAAGUAUUCUUUUAGACAUUUAAUUUCUGUAUAUUAUAUUUAUAAUUAUACAGUAAAUAACAGACUUUGUUAAAAUCAAAAAGUCUUCAAAUGCCUCGUGUCCAGAAAAAAAAUUGGCAAAAACCAGACAGUGUCUGUUAAAUCCAAAAUCUGUUUCAUCAAGAUCUUUUAAAUUGAGGGCUUACUGUAUUAUGACUUGUUAUAUUUAAUGAACCAAAACAGUUGCAGCAAUGAAAUAACUGGAGAGAUCUUUAUGAAAUUAAACAUCUGAUGUUUGGAAGAUUCUUCUUCCAUUAGAAAAUGUAGGGGCAGUUUCUGAAAACUUGGAGUUUAACUCAUGGUUAUAGAAAACAUAAUUGAAUCAUGUUGCUGGGGUAACAUAGAACCUUAUAUAAUGGAUAAUUUUCUGUCUGUGCUACAUAUGUACAUGUUUGACUUUCACAAAUAUUUUCUCAUUAAAUGUAGACACUAGGCUGAUGGUAAAGUUUCUGAUUGUAACGUGUUUUAACUGUACUUGCUACUAAUAGUUAUAAUUUUCCUUGAUCUUAACUCUAUGAAAGAUCAAAAAUGAUUUGUUCAAGCCCGGUCUUAUUGCCGUAGUCUUGAGACAGUUCUAGCAAAGUAAAGUAUGAUGUGCUAGGAACUUUCAUACUGUUAUGUACACUCCAGUAUCACGCACUGUCCUAUAAAUGAAAUGUUUAAGUGUAUGUGGUAAUCAUUUUGCAUGUUCCACAUAAUUAUUUGUGAUGUUUAUCAUCAUCUUGUUUUUUCUCAUCACCAGACAUUCAGAAUAUCCUGGUGUGUACAUGUUUAAUUCAACCAUAGGAUGACGCAUGAAAUGUUUACCCAUUUUGGUUGUUUCUUGCAGAGGGUCCAUAGUUUCAAUUUUAGCACUGCUUUCUCCCAAUUUUAACAUGGGUCAGGCCCUAGUUGAUUUCUGUAUGUUAGGAAAAGUUUGCAGUUAGAUGGGCAGGGCAUAUGGCAUGCAUGGUUGGGGCGAGAGUUGUGUACUGGGUAUUGGUUGGGAAGCCUGAGAGGAAGAGACCGCUGGGGAGACCUAGACAUAGAUGGGAGGAUAAUGUCAGGCGGGAUCUAUGGGAGAUAGGAGUUAAAGGAGACUGGAUUUUGUAGGCCCAGGACAGGGUCCAGUGGAGGGCAUUGGUGAGUUCGGUGAUGAACCUUCAGUUCUGUAAGCCAUCUAGUUAGUUAGUUAGGAAAAGUUUGCUUGUCCAGUAUUAAAUUCCAUAUCAAACAUAAAGGUACAUUAAAGUUUCUGAACAGGUUUUCAGCAUAUGGUAUUUUAUCAGGCUGCUAGGUCUCCUGGAUCUCAGAUUCUUUGUAGUAGCGUUGUAUCCACAGUGAAGGGUAAAAUGGAACUCACAGCCCUAAUGCAGCUCUGCCAUAAAAUAUCAGUUGGUUUGAUUCAGAAAGCCAUCCCACAUGUUCUUCAUCAUGAGGCAUGAGGAGGUUGUAAGGCAGAAUGAAGUUCAUGCUGAAGAUGGUCUGCACUUAACAUAACCACAACAGGAUGCCUAAGUAUGAAAUUGUUAUUUUCUGUUGUAACUUUUUUAUAAUAAAUUUAGAUGGGUAAACAUUUUUUGUGCACCACCCUGAAUGGCUAAUUCAUGUUGUGAUAGUAUAAUACAUAUAAGUACUAAUUAUUCUUCUGUGAUUUGUAUUAUCUGAUGAAUUCAAUUCUUUUGUAGUGUAAUCUAAAUAUUAUAGGAUAUAUCUUGUCAUUGCUUUUACUGGUGAAUUUGUAUCCCUGAAAUAGGAUAUAAGGUUUGCUAUGCCACCUUCCACCUCCUAUUUUAUCCCCUUAUCAGCAAGAGUUGAGUUUUCCUCCAGGGUCACGGCUGUCAAUUGGAAGGAGAUAGAACAUCAAGAUAUCUGCAAGUUCAUUUAUUGACACACUUACAAUUUACCCUUGCAUUCUUUGGUGUGGUAUUGCUUCCUUGUUAAUUUGUUACUUUUUGCAUGCAUUCAUGUGUGUGGUAUGCCUUUGUAUGAUACAAAUGAAAACAGCCUGUUUCCAGAAAUAAAAUGUUUCCCGUAGCUGUUGGAUUUAAAAGAUACUUAUGUACAGAAUAAUAAAACAUUUUUCAAGGUAGUAAAGGGGUAAUGAAAGGAAAGGAUAAAUUGAUAUUGUGAUGCCAGGAUAUUUUUAAAUGUACCAAGCACAUAAAUAAUCUUUGACAUUCGAACCAACAUAUUUUCUGUAAAUGCAAUAUGAAGGAGAACUUGUGAAGAAAGAAAUAAUGCGAAAAUAUGGUAAAUGGUACCAGACAUUUACCAUUAUUAUAUUUUGUUAUUUCUUUGUGACACUUUGUCUGAUGUAAAUGAUUUGUUCUCUUUAUUACAUUAUGUUCUCAUUUAAUCGAUAUCUUAACUAUAUGUUUAUAAAACAGUUUGUAUAUUUGAAUUGUAUUAUAUAAUACACAAUAAUCACCCUUGAAGUAAUUACCCAUUUCAGUUUUGCUUUGUUUGAUAUAAUUUGUCAAGAAUUUGUAGUCCAAUGUGGCUUGAGCCUCGAAGCAUUUGUGUCAGUUGUUUUAAUUGCUUUAUCACGGUCAAAGAAUCAAAACCAAGGACAUCUAAAGGUCUGAAGACAUGAGCAAUGAAGUGGCUCUCUGAGGAUCCAGAUUUCUGCCACACCGAAUCAUAAGCUCUUUCUUUGUGAGCUUUCAAGUUCUCAUGAUGGCAAGUAUCAAAAUAGUUUUUCUUCUGGGAUGUUGCACCAUGUAGUCUGAUAGAAGUUUACUGACAUUUUGGACUUCUUGCUGCUCUGAUGAUUGAGGCAACAAGGACCUCUGAAACAGUAAACUUCUACCAGACUACUUGGCACAACAACCCCGAAUAAAGCGAUUUACUUUGCUUAUCAUAACUUUCUAAUAUUGUAAAUUAAAGUGAUUAACCUUAGUAGAAAUGGUUAGUAAGUAUUUACAGUUUGGUUUUUCAAAAUUCUUGCACAUUAAUGUAUUUGUAAGGAUAUGAAUUGGAGAAAUAUUUAAAAACAUUUGUGUUAAGUAACAAAAAGUAUGUGCAUUUGUUGUAGUACAUGCAUGUUACCUGGCUGUGCAUUUCAUGUUUUGACAGUAUUUAAAGUGCAUGCAUAUUUUUUAUGAAGACAUACCUUUUAGUUACAAAAUAUAUACCACUUAUGUUUUGAGAAUUCACUGAGUGAAAGAUUGUUAUAUUAUUGCUUGGCUGGUUCAUUUUGAUUGCUUUUGCAUUAUACAUAAGUAAACUGAAGAAAAUACUGAACUGCUUUGUAUGAAGAAUCUUUCUGCAUGGUACCUUGAGGUUGUAUAGUUAUUCACAUUUCUUAUGGAAAGAUGCUAAUAAAACUUGUUGAUCAUUAAUAGAGAUGAACCUACUGGAGGGACUUCUCAUUUCAUUUAUGUAUGGCUUAUUUAACUAUGCUGUCAGUAGCUUAUUGUUGAAUGAUGGGAUGAUCAAUGAAUAAUGAAUUCAAAAGGACUUGGAAGGCAGCAGUUAUUGCCUAAUUCAAGGUACUAUUCCAGCAUUUGCCUGGGGGAACAGGAAAACCACAAAAAGCCUCAGUCAGGAUAGCCAGACUCAGCUGAGAUAUUAACUGGAAACCUCCUGCCUACUAAGUAGGAAUGCUAUAUAAACACUUGUCCAUGACAUGCAGUGGAGUAACAGCUUACACCUUUUAACUUUAAUUAUCGCUUACAAACUUAUUAAUAUCAAACUGUAUAAAGUUGAAUUAAUUCUUUGUGUGUAUUCAGUAUACAUUUCUUUUAUAGUAUGACUGUUGGAGUAUGUGAUAGAUGGGAUGUUAUAUGUUUAUGACAUAUUAGCUACUGCUUCCAUGUACAAUACAAAAAUGGGGGUGCAUGUGUCAAAUGGUUACUUUUUUUACACAUGGAAGGAUUUGGAGCAUAAAUAAAACACCCUAUUCUCUGGAGUAUAAGGCACUUUUCUUGAAAAAUGCAUUUUCAGUCCAGAAAAUACAGUCAAUAGACGAAGCUUUUACAGCAGGUUAUUUUUUAAGACAGCACAUGUGAAAAUGUAUUUUUAUUGGUCUGCUUGUAAUGUGAAUUAUAGCAGUUUCUAUUUUCUAUAUUGGCUUGAUCAUUCAUUCAGUUUUUGGUAGUCUGUCCAAGAAAGUGCCAGGAUAAUACUUUGAUGUAGACCACACCUGCUUUAUCUCAUAUUCAAUGUCAUCUUAUUUAUUCUCUUUCUGGUCUGUGUGAAAUGAAUAACAUUAAAAAUUAAUCUCGGGUAAAUAUGUUGUAAAACAGAAGUUGUAGCACCAUGGAAGUUUACUAGAUUACACAGCAUCACAAGUCAGAAGACAGCGAACUUCAUUCUUGCUGCCAUGACAACCUGAAAUCCCACACAGUUAUAAAGCUACCAGCUGGAUAGAACUGGCUCAGAAUAAGUUCUGCUGGCAGGCUUUUUUGAUGAUUGUUAUGACCUACUCAUGGAAUCUGAUUGGUUUGCUAUUAUAGGUCAGCUGGAACAGAAGAGACUGUACAGUAAAUGUUGAUAUUAAUAAACAAUGAUUUCCCCACCUCUUUUCUUUAUCAAGAUAUAAGCCAGUUAAGGUAUAGCUGUCAUUAGAUUGAUUUAUGUUAGGUGUACUGAACAUGUAACAUGCAUUUGAGUAGGUUAUAAUUUUACAAAAUUUGGUUGGAGAAGCAAAUUGAAAGAAGAUAAAAAAGGAACAGAGGCUCUGAUACAAGGAUAGUAUAAAUGAGUAGAUUAGGAAUGUAAAUUGUGAUGAUUUAAAAUUGUUAUAACUGACUCAGGAGAGAAUCCAUUGAUGUAGAUGGUAAUGAUUUGAAGUGGUUACAAUUGUCUCUGGCUAGAAUUCAAAGAUAUGGAUUGUGAUGAUUUGAAGCUGUUACAGCUGACUCAAAAGAGUAUCCAGUGAUUUAGAUUGUGAUGACUCAGGCUGCAGUGAUUGGUUAUAAGAAUGAUGAAGCUCUUUGGUUCCAUAACUGUUCACAUAAAUAUCAUUUGCUUAAUGAAUAAUAUGUUUUGUUGGGUAGAUUAUAUGGAGUAUAGUUAGCUGGUGAUAUGUCUCCACUUUGGGGAGAUCAUAUUCUUUAAUUUAUAGCAUUGGUUAUAUUUUAUUGUGGUUUUGAUAAUACCUCCAUGUACAGAAUGAUUCACAAUUUAAUGUUGUAACUUCAGGAGCAUAUUCUUGAUAUUAUUCCCAGUUAGAAAUGACGUAGGUGAAAUGUAAAAUGUCAUAGGCUUGUUUCUCAACAGUUAUGGAUUUGUCAUCACCUAAAAGUUAAAAUAUAAGAAUUUGUGAACAAGUACUCAUAUGACAUUAAUAUUGCUGAAUUUGCAAUGAAUGUUCAAAAUAACUACCUUCAGCCUCAAUAUACAUAUUUUAGAAGAUUAAGGUUUACCUUUGGAAACAUGAUUGCAUUUGUACUUGCAAUAUGAGAGAAAGUGCAUUUGAAUCAUGCAGUAAAAAUAUGUAGUGAUCAUUGCUUCCAUGGUCUAUGGAUUGGUCAUGGUCCACAACAUUGGCCACCAUAUCUCCAGACCACAUUCCACCUAGAUUUUUAUUUUUGGGGGCACAUAAAAUAUUGGGUAUACCAGCAGAAUGUGGAAACACAAGAUGUAUUGCUUUGUUGCGUUUUGGAUGCUGCAGCCUUUGUAAAGGACAAGCCUAAUGAAGUGAUCUGACCUAUGUGGUCGAUACACAGACUUGGCGGGAUGUGUAAUGAGGGUGAGUGCCGUAAUUUUGAACAUUUGUUGCAAAUUCAGCAUCUCUUCCCAAAAUAUUAGUUCAAAUGUUAAUUAGAAGUUUAUUAUGUUAGUUGUGAUAAUUAUUGAUUAACAUAUAAAUGUUAUGAAGUGUAUUCAGUCAUAAUUACACAAAAUUUUGCCCCCACACUGGACCUCAACCUAUUUCAUCUGGUCCUGUAACCACCAUGGCUAUUCAGUAAGUUUUAAGUAAAAGAUAAAAAUUUUCCAUAAGAGCUUCACAUUGUUACAAAAAACUGCCUGUGAUUUUUAGCUGAAAUGAAAUUGCUGCAGUAUGUUUUUAAUUGUGCACAUGUUGAAGGAAUUUAUUCUGUUGUUAUAAAUAAACCCAAAGAAUAUAAAUUAAUUUAA